GAUGAACGCUGGCGGCGUGCUUAACACAUGCAAGUCGAACGGGAUCCCAGGAGCUUGCUCCUGGGUGAGAGUGGCGAACGGGUGAGUAAUGCGUGACCGACCUGCCCCAUACACCGGAAUAGCUCCUGGAAACGGGUGGUAAUGCCGGAUGCUCCGACAUGACGCAUGUCGUGUCGGGAAAGAUUCAUCGGUAUGGGAUGGGGUCGCGUCCUAUCAGCUUGAUGGCGGGGUAACGGCCCACCAUGGCUUCGACGGGUAGCCGGCCUGAGAGGGCGACCGGCCACAUUGGGACUGAGAUACGGCCCAGACUCCUACGGGAGGCAGCAGUGGGGAAUAUUGCACAAUGGGCGCAAGCCUGAUGCAGCGACGCCGCGUGCGGGAUGACGGCCUUCGGGUUGUAAACCGCUUUUGACUGGGAGCAAGCCCUU
rnacentral:rRNA from 1 species